GUUGUCUCUGCUACCAAGAGGCAUUUUCACACGAAACCUGUGUGGGGAGGUAAUGUUUUGAAGUGCACCCCAAAGAGCAAGAUCUUUCUAAGUAGAACUUGGAUUCUGAAGGCUCUUCUGUGUGGCUGGGUGUUAUGGGCUUUGAGGGCUUGGCCUGGGAGUCAGUUAUUAGUCAUUUCCCUGUUAUCUUCUGCAAUCAGGAUGUCACUCGUUCUCUCUGUUGUCAUGUAUUUUCCAGAAUCUUGCUUUGGAAACCUAGGAUCUUGCUUCAGGAGACUGAGGGCAAUUUUGUUCUUUACCACCUUGGCUGGAAUAAUCCCAUGGUGGCCACACAACAGGGUGCACCCUGCCAAUGAGCCAGAUGAAGCAACCCUCGAUGAUGUUGUGGAGGCCGGCGGGAGUGAGAAGACCGAGAAGGAGGCCCUGGCUGGGGCAAAUGAGGAAGAGGUGGGGCCGGGAACUGAGAAGGUGCAGGAGGAGGCUGCCUACAUUGACGAGGCAGAGGAGGCAGCGGGCCCAUCCCUUGAAAAUGACGAGGAGUCCCCAGCCAGCGACCUGGUUGAGCAGGAAGACCAGCUUGCCCCAAGGUAAGCUCACCUUUCUUGAUCGGAGAUUUAAAAAGGUGCCUCCUUUCUUCUUGGAUGUGCCUACUUCAGAAAAGGAAAUCUGAGCAAGUCCAUUAUAGAGGAUAUAUGCACAUUCCUCUGUGGAGGAAUGUUGAGUCAAAGUUUGGUACCAACCAAUAACUCCUUCCAAGGGGCAUUGGCAAAAGGGACCACAUCAGUUCCCAAGUGUACAUAGGGAGCAUUUGUCUUUGAAGAAGCCUGAAUGUUUUGUUUUGUUUUGUUUUGUUGUCUUUUUGCCUUUUCUGGGGCCACUCCUGUGGCAUAUGGAGGUUCCCAGGCUCAGGGUCAAAUCGGAGCUGUAGCCACCGGCCUGCGCCAGAGCCACAGCAACGCGGGAUCCGAGCCACGUCUGCAACCUACACCUCAGCUCACGGCAAUGCCGGAUCCUUAACCCACUGAGCAAGGCCAGGGAUCGAACCCGCAACCUCAUGGUUCCUGGUCGGAUUCGUUAACCACUGCGCCACGACGGGAACUCCAAAGAAGCCUGAAUGUUUUUUAAAUGAACGUGGACUUGGGAGGUCUUCCAUGAAAAGCUGGUGCCUUUUCCACAGGUGUCUUUGCUGUCUUCUUUUGGGGAAACGGACUCAACUCUGCUUCUGUCUGUGUGCCUG
rnacentral:lncRNA from 1 species